UAUUUCUUCAUUUCACAUUCCCCUGAGACUCCAACAACAACAAGAAGUGAUAUUUUUUGUCCAUAUAAUUUUAGAUUAUUAUUUUUCAGGUGGCGAUAUAUAGAAGCAUGAGCCUCAAUGGUUGACCAGAAAGUAAAGAAACCAAGAACUGAGCCCACAGAAAUAAACCUAAUCCCUAUCCUUUUUUCCUUAGAAGCCAACAGCGUGUUUCCAACAAGGGCUGCUACUGCUGGCUUCCAAAGAUCUCCCGUUCUGGACUGAUUACGCAAAAGCAGCCCCUGAUUGCAGGCACAAGGAAGUUUCCCGUGUGAUGCCCCCAUCUUGGAGCCCUGGUGGAGCCCAGGUGUGCCACAGAGGUCCAACCAACAGAGCGGAAGUGACAGAGAAUCUGCCGUCUCCUCGGGUACGUUGUCCGGUGGUUAAUUAAUUGCCUUAGCUGUUCUGCACCAAGACCUACUCUACUUCUCUGUAGAAAUGCCUUUGGUU
rnacentral:lncRNA from 1 species